GUGAAUCAUCGAAUUUUUGAACGCAAAUUGCACUCUCUUCGGAGAGUAUGCCUGUUUGAGGGUCAGCCUAUAAAAAAUCGACAUCGUCGCUGUUUCGCGGUGACGUUCGUCGGAAAUUGGGUCAUCUUAAACCCUUGUGGUUUUUAGGCGGCUUAAAUUUUUGUUUUCGUUUCAUCGAAGGUUUCUAAGUUUUUUUCUUUACACGUUU
rnacentral:misc_RNA from 1 species